rnacentral:rRNA from 1 species
GGGGAAUUUUGGACAAUGGGCGAAAGCCUGAUCCAGCCAUGCCGCGUGAGUGAAGAAGGCCUUCGGGUUGUAAAGCUCUUUCAGCCGGAAAGAAAUCGCGUAGGAUAAUACUCUGCGUGGAUGACGGUACCGGAAGAAGAAGCACCGACUAACUACGUGCCAGCAGCCGCGGUAAUACGUAGGGUGCGAGCGUUAAUCGGAAUUACUGGGCGUAAAGCGUGCGCAGGCGGUUAUGUAAGACAGAUGUGAAAUCCCCGGGCUCAACCUGGGAACUGCGUUUGUGACUGCAUAACUAGAGUACGGCAGAGGGAGGUGGAAUUCCGCGUGUAGCAGUGAAAUGCGUAGAUAUGCGGAGGAACACCGAUGGCGAAGGCAGCCUCCUGGGCCAGUACUGACGCUCAUGCACGAAAGCGUGGGGAGCAAAC